rnacentral:lncRNA from 1 species
UCAAACUCCUCGGCCCUUGCCUGAUCCGAACUUGAUCCCAUCGCCUCCUUGACCCCUUCUUUUCAGUUGAAGAUUGUAAUAACCGAACACAUGAAAAACGAACGGGCCAUGGAUUGGGACCCGACCCGAUUAACAUUGGCUCUGAUCUUGAAUUCAUUGUUUUUCUUUGCAUUGCAGGUGCAGUGUUGAGGAGGAGACUGGGGAGACAGAGGAGCGAUCAAGAAAGCAAGAGAGUUAAGGUAUCGUGAACCUGUUGUUGAUUCUUCUAUUGAAGAAUGGAUUGGAUGACUUUUCAGAUUUGACUUUAGCUGGUGAAAUAGAAAAAGAUGAUUAUAAUAUUUUUGUUGAGCACGCCUUUUGGAGUGAUCGUGAGGAGGAUCUGAAUUCAGAUGGUGAAAAGGCAGAUGGUGUUCUUGCAGUAGAAAUACGUACUACUUCCUCCUUAUCCAAGGGGAAUGCGAU